GCUUUCAUGGUGUAAUGGUAGCACACUCGGUGCAUAUUCGAGAGAUCCAGGUUCAAGUCCUGGUGGGGCA
rnacentral:tRNA from 1 species